rnacentral:rRNA from 1 species
UACAGAGGUCUCAAGCGUUGUUCGGAUUCAUUGGGCGUAAAGGGUGCGUAGGUGGCGGGGUAAGUCAGGUGUGAAAUCUCGGGGCUCAACCCCGAAACUGCACUUGAUACUGCCUUGCUCGAGUACUGGAGAGGAGAUUGGAAUUACGGUGUAGCAGUGAAAUGCGUAGAUAUCGUAAGGAAGACCAGUGGCGAAGGCGAAUCUCUGGACAGUUACUGACACUGAGGCACGAAGGCCAGGGGAGCAAACGGG